GAUGAACGCUGGCGGCGUGCCUAAUACAUGCAAGUCGAGCGAACGGACGAGAAGCUUGCUUCUCUGAUGUUAGCGGCGGACGGGUGAGUAACACGUGGAUAACCUACCUAUAAGACUGGGAUAACUUCGGGAAACCGGAGCUAAUACCGGAUAAUAUUUUGAACCGCAUGGUUCAAAAGUGAAAGACGGUCUUGCUGUCACUUAUAGAUGGAUCCGCGCUGCAUUAGCUAGUUGGUAAGGUAACGGCUUACCAAGGCAACGAUGCUUAGCCGACCUGAGAGGGUGAUCGGCCACACUGGAACUGAGACACGGUCCAGACUCCUACGGGAGGCAGCAGUAGGGAAUCUUCCGCAAAGGGCGAAAGCCUGACGGAGCAACGCCGCGUGAGUGAUGAAGGUCUUCGGAUCGUAAAACUCUGUUAUUAGGGAAGAACAUAUGUGUAAGUAACUGUGCACAUCUUGACGGUACCUAAUCAGAAAGCCACGGCUAACUACGUG
rnacentral:rRNA from 1 species